rnacentral:tRNA from 1 species
GUCCCUGUAGCUCAGUUGGAUAGAGCAUCCGCCUCCUAAGCGGAAGGCCUCCGGUUCAAGUCCGGACAGGGACGCCA